rnacentral:lncRNA from 1 species
CUGUUUAUCUGCUUCUUCCCUGUGAUUCUGGGCAUCUCAGUAUCUGUGGCUCCUGGAGCCUGCUGUGCUAUCCUGGGCACCCAUCACAAGGAAAGGCUCUGCUCCUCCCUCUGCCUGCUCUCUCUUUGUCUGAUGGGGAAAUACUAACCCAGCACUGCCUGCUUCCUCUCUGUUGGCUCCCUGGAGCUUAAUAAAAGCACACCAGUGAGCUGGGAAGCUCCUCCUGCCUCCCGGGUUCCCAUCACAUGAUGCAGCCAAAGUGCUCUGUCCUUCGCAGAGAGCUAAGGUCACAUUGCAGGGAGGCUCUCCCUACAUCUGGGGAUGAGCACUCAGCCUAGGUCUCUGAGUUUGCCUGCCUCUACUCCACCUCACCCUCUACAACAGUGAGGGAGCAGUCACGGAGGAUAGAAUCAAUGCCCUCUCUGAAGCUGCUCAGCUUAAUGUUCAACUUUUAUGGCCUGAAAGAUUGGUCAAGACCCUGGCCAUCAUCAACAUUGGGAAUCUGCGAUUCACGAGCUGGUUGUCCAGUUCAAAUGCUGAAGCUGUGCCAGCAGGCAAUCCAGCCCCCUCCACCACUGCUGCUGCCACCUAGGAGAGGAAAAGAAAGUAGAAGCAAAAUAAGGGGAAUCUGGGGGGAUCUGAUGAUGAUAUGGGCUUUGGUCUUUUUGACUAAACCUCUUUUGUAGACAUGUUCAGUAAAAAGCCAAAUGUAUAAAAACAAAACCUAAAUUUUAGCUCUAUAGCUGGGGGUAUAGCUUAGCUGUAGAGCACACAUCACAUGAACCCAGAACCGAAUAAAAUAAACUCCAUUCCAAAAGCGAAAACCAAGCCCAGACGGCUUCACUGAUGAGUUCUAGCAAAUGUUUAUAGAACAAUCACUCUUCCAGAGCAAAUGGAAUUUAUCCUCCCCAAAGCAAGCAUUAUUUAACAUCUGAAAAUUAAUUUGUGGAUCAGCAAAAUUGCUCAGUCGAUAAGGGUGCUUGCCACCCAGCCAGAAGACCUCAGUGUGAUCCCUGAGACCCACAUGGAAGAUGGAGCAAACCAACUCCCAUAAGUUGUCCUCUGACCACCACAGGCUUGCCACAGCAUACAUGUGCCCACACUCACGCAUCAUCACAUUCACAACAUCAAAGGUAACAAUUUCUUAAAAAUAAACUCAUGUAAUGUGUUAAUACAAUAAAAGAUAAUCACAUGACAGCACAAAACUAUAGAAAGACAGAAGAAAAAAGCCUCUCAUCAAUAAAACACUGUUACAGGGACUGGAGAGAUGGCUCAGUGGUUGAGAGCACUGACUGCUCUGCCAGAGGUCCUGAGUUCAGUUCCCAGCAACCACAUGGUGGCUCACAACCAUCUGAAAUGGGAUGUGAUGGCCUCUUCUGGUGUGUCUGAAGAAAACUACGGUGUAGUCAUAUGCAUAAAAUAAACAAAUCCUUAAAAACAAGCUGUUACAAACUUAAAUCUGGAAGAAAUUCCUAAAACCUGGCUAGAGUGGUGUAUGAAACCCCUAUUUGUAACACUAAUAUCAAAAGAGAAAAUGCUUUAUCCCCCAACAUAGAAGAGAACCUGAUAAUGUUUCUUCUUCCCACAUUGACCCAUUGUCUUUGCAGAGGUUUGAGUCAGAAAACUUAAACUAAAAUAAUUUAAAGUGAUCCUUCUGUUUUCCAUCUGCCCCCAGAGCUGUCCCACAGCUCUCCAGACCCAAAUACUACUGGAGAGAGCUGGUCUCCCAGGAGAGCUAAAGAUGCUGGCAUCAUCGAAAUACAGAGCAGAAUAAUGGCUGGCAGAGGUUGAGAGUACUAAGCAGAGGGGGUAAUAGAGAGGUUGGGCAAUGGCUACAAUAUUAUAGUCAGAUGGGAGACAUAUGUCCCAGUGUUCCAUAGCACAGUACGGUAACUAUGGUAACAGUAACACAUAUACUACAAAGUGGUUAGAAGGUCUGAAUACGUGUACCACAAAGAAAUAAUAAAUAUUGGUGGAUAAAAUAACUAUCCCAAUUUGAUCAUGUUACAUACAACAUGCAAGCAUGUACCACUACUGUAUAUUAAAUGAUAAAAAAUACAAUAACU